rnacentral:rRNA from 1 species
UCGAGAAUCUUCGGCAAUGGACGCAAGUCUGACCGAGCGACGCCGCGUGCGGGAUGAAGGCCUUCGGGUUGUAAACCGCUGUCAGAGGGGAGGAAAUUACGGUGGGUUCUCCCACCGCAUUGACCUAGCCUCAGAGGAAGUACGGGCUAAGUUCGUGCCAGCAGCCGCGGUAAGACGAACCGUACAAACGUUAUUCGGAAUCACUGGGCUUAAAGGGUGCGUAGGCGGCGCGGAAAGUAGGGUGUGAAAUCCCUCGGCUCAACCGAGGAAUUGCGCCCUAAACUACCGUGCUCGAGGGAGAUAGAGGUGAGCGGAACUUAGGGUGGAGCGGUGAAAUGCGUUGAUAUCCUAAGGAACACCGGUGGCGAAAGCGGCUCACUGGAUCUCUUCUGACGCUGAGGCACGAAAGCUAGGGUAGCGAACGG